UGCUGUUGAAUGUGAAAGUGGACCGAUCCAUCGGGAAAGUAGAAUUGUACCGAAGGGGUCGUCACUUGACAAUUUUACUUUUACUAAAUAAAUUUGUAUUUAGUCUACGAGCAUCUAUGGUCUAGAGUCACAUUCACCAAAAAACAAAAAUUAGGGACGUUGUGCACGAGGCAGAGAAUUCUAUAAUAGUGAAGAAGAUACCCAUCGCAUAUUUCUACCCGUUCAGUCUGUGGCCGCUGCCUAAGGCAUUUCCAACAAGCAAAGAUCUUAAAGAGUUAGAAGAGCAAAGAAGAGCGUUAGAAAUCUUCCCUGGACAAGAACCAACAAACCGCCAAAGGAACAAUCAGAAGAGGAAAAGAGAAAGAAAUCGCCGUAAUCAAGACAAGAAUAAAAGCAAGAGGUAAUUAAUACCUCUAUGACCUCAUGUACCGCCUUUUGUUUUUCUUUGUCGUGGGCGAAAAGUUUUGCUUUGGGCGAAUUGACUGUAACUCGCUGAGUCUCGUGACGUCGUUAGCAUUUUAAAAGUAUGCCUCUCUGUCGAUGAGUGGCAUUUACUAGUUCUAUAAGCGAAAUGGUAAGCUGGUAAUGUCUUUGUGCCAUCGUCGUCAGGGCAUCUUUUACGCCUUUAAUAUUAGAGUGCACAUUUCUGCGUUUAACGUUUUCAAAAUUUAUAUCUUUCGUAUGACUUGCUUUGUCUCUCAAGAUCAGAUUUUGCGGGACAAAUAUGUCCCUUACUGCGAGGAUGAUUUAUUCGUCCUUUGUACAUACAUGUCGUCACACCUGUCUUCCAUCGAGGUAGGUAGAGUCUAUGAACUUCCACCUUCUACGCUCCUGACAAACCUUCGCCUCCUCCACUCCCAUCAGUUUCUUUGUACAUGCUUGUUUAUUUUUGAUAAUAUGGCCUUUUUUAAGGACAUCCCCGAUCUGAUUGAGAUAUGUACGCCAUUUACUCGUUCUUGGUGAGCACACUAUAUUUUUAUCUUAUAGAUUACCAGGCCCAAAAUCUUAUCAAACUUAUCAAAACCGAUGUCAGAUAUUUUAAUUUACAUAUAAUUGUAUUGAAAUAAUAUAGGUCCGAUGGACCUGUAAAUAAAUAAUAAUUGUUUAUUGUGCAAAUAAAUGACAUUAAAAUUACAUAUUACAAAGGACUUAUGCAAAGGUGAGCUUAUCUCUAGAAGAGAUCUCUUCCAGCCAACCCUAACCGUGGUUAAUAAAGUAAGUCUGCGGAACAUAAUAUAAAUGUAAAUAUAAAAUUAUCAAUGAUGAUUAUAUAAAUAUGACUGAGAUAUAACAUCUAUAUAAACUUGAUAUAUAUAAAUACAUACAAACACAAUAUGUAUUAUAAUCUAAACAAAUUAUUAGUUUAUAUUUAUGUUACUGUUUAACAACUAUCUAGUUUAAUAGGAAGUGCUCUUUUAAUUUAAAAAGUCACGAAUGCUAGCAGGUAAUUUAUUUCACAUACGAAACUCCAUCCAUAAUUAUGACAUUGAAUACGACCCUAUUAGCUUGAUUCAUCUCAUUCCUAAUGAGUGGAAUACACUACCGACUUGUGAGUUUCCCGAAAACCAUUAUUUAUGGCUGUUCAAAUCCAUCGUAAAAAAAUUGUACCGCACGUCUUCACGUGUUAGUUCGGUUAACUUAUCUGGCUGGGUAUAUUUCUCCUAGAAAUAACGAUCUUUCUUUCAAAAUUGUAUUUAUUCCAUUAAAUUUGGGUCCUAACUGGAACCAGUAUUCAGAACUUGAUGUUCCAUAAAUAAAUACGACCCUUCGUUUAACUUUGUCAAGUUAUUGUGCGAGGUUUAAACGUUGGUGCCCCGUUAUAUCAAAUGUCAUAGUUAUUAAACAUUUCUAGACCGGUUUAUUUCAGCAAAUUUCACAGUCAUAACCUACGCCAUUUUGCUUUGGAGAAAUAUCGUUAAUAUUAUUAGAAUUUCUGUCGUUGAGAAGUGUCUCGUAAGGGUAGUUUACAAACUGGGUCACUGCAUGUCUCUAAGAUAUAUUUUUACAAAAAUUCACAAUCUUACACUGGCGUCAGAGUAUAUUUAUGAAAAUACUUAGAAUAAUAACGCAUAGAAUGAUAGUUUCAUAUCAAACGAACUGUCACAAGUGAGGCAAAA